rnacentral:rRNA from 1 species
AGUGAACGCUGGCGGCGUGCCUAAUACAUGCAAGUCGAACGGAGUGGCGCACGGGUGAGUAAUAUAUAUCUAAUCUGCCCCUUGCUGGAGGACAACAGUUAGAAAUGCCUGCUAAUACCCCCUAGCACGGGAUGAGACUAUAUCGGAUCAGCUAGUCGGUGAGGUAACGGCCUACCGAGGCUAUGACGCGUAACUGGUCUGAGAGGAUGAUCAGUCACAUUGGAAGUGAGGCACGGUUCAAAAUCCUACGGGAAGCAGCAGUAGGGAAUAUUGCGCAAUGGGGGAAACCCUGACGCAGCAACGGCGCGUGGAGGAUGACACGUUUGGGAGCGUAAACUCCUUUUGUUAGGGAAGCGGUACCUAACGAAUAAGCACCGGCUAACUCCGUGCCAGCAGCCGCGGUAAUAC